rnacentral:rRNA from 1 species
GGCCAGACUCCUACGGGAGGCAGCAGUGAGGGAUAUUGGUCAAUGGGGGAAACCCUGACCCAGCAACGCCGCGUGAAGGAAGAAGGCUUUCGGGUUGUAAACUUCUUUUCUCAGGGACGAAGAAAGUGACGGUACUUGAGGAAUAAGCCACGGCUAACUACGUGCCAGCAGCCGCGGUAAUACGUAGGGGGCAAGCGUUAUCCGGAUUCACUGGGUGUAAAGGGAGCGUAGACGGCGACGCAAGUCUGGAGUGAAAGCCCGGGGCCCAACCCCGGGACUGCUCUGGAAACUGCGUCGCUGGAGUACGGGAGGGGCAGGCGGAAUUCCUGGUGUAGCGGUGAAAUGCGUAGAUAUCAGGAGGAACACCGGCGGCGAAGGCGGCCUGCUGGACCGUGACUGACGUUGAGGCUCGAGAGCGUGGGGAGCAAACAGGAUUAGAUACCCUAGUA